UACGUAGGGUGCAAGCGUUGUCCGGAAUUAUUGGGCGUAAAGAGCUCGUAGGUGGCCUGUCGCGUCGGCUGUGAAAACUCGGGGCUCAACUCCGAGCUGCAGUCGAUACGGGCAGGCUAGAGUUCGGCAGGGGAGACUGGAAUUCCUGGUGUAGCGGUGAAAUGCGCAGAUAUCAGGAGGAACACCGGUGGCGAAGGCGGGUCUCUGGGCCGAUACUGACACUGAGGAGCGAAAGCCAGGGAGCAAACGGG
rnacentral:rRNA from 1 species